rnacentral:rRNA from 1 species
AGCGAACGCUGGCGGCAGGCCUAACACAUGCAAGUCGAACGAAGUCUUCGGACUUAGUGGCGGACGGGUGAGUAACACGUGGGAACGUACCUUUUGGUUCGGAACAACUCAGGGAAACUUGAGCUAAUACCGGAUGAGCCCUUAGGGGGAAAGAUUUAUCGCCGAAAGAGCGGCCCGCGUUAGAUUAGCUAGUUGGUGAGGUAAAGGCUCACCAAGGCUACGAUCUAUAGCUGGUCUGAGAGGAUGAUCAGCCACACUGGGACUGAGACACGGCCCAGACUCCUACGGGAGGCAGCAGUGGGGAAUCUUGCGCAAUGGGCGAAAGCCUGACGCAGCCAUGCCGCGUGGGUGAUGAAGACCCUAGGGUUGUAAAGCCCUUUCAGCGGGGAAGAUAAUGACGGUACCCGCAGAAGAAGCCCCGGCUAACUUCGUGCCAGCCGCCGCGGUAAGAC